UGAGUACGAGAUGCUACGGCAUCGAAGCAGUCUAUGUCAUACUUCCAAGAAAAGCUUGCACUGUCAUAAACAAAGAAUGCCUGUACCAUAACCGACACAGGUGGGUAGGUAGAGUAUACUAAGGGGCGCGAGAUAACUCUCUCUAAGGAACUCGGCAAAAUGACUCCGUAACUUCGGGAGAAGGAGUGCCUUAUUUCUAAGGUUGCAAUAACAAGAUCCAAGCAACUGUUUACCAAAAACACAGGUCUCCGCUAAGUCGUAAGACGAUGUAUGGGGGCUGACGCCUGCCCAGUGCCAGAAGGUUAAAGAAGUUGGUUAGCAUUAGCGAAGCUGAUAACUGAAGCCCUGGUGAACGGCGGCCGUAACGAUAACGGUCCUAAGGUAGCGAAAUUCCUUGUCGGGUAAGUUCCGACCCGCACGAAAGGCGUAAUGAUUUGGAUACUGUCUCGGAGAGGGGCUCGGUGAAAUAGACUUGUCUGUGAAGAUGCGGACUACCUGCACCUGGACAGAAAGACCCUAUGAAGCUUUACUGUAACUUGAGAUUGAAAUUGGACUUUAUUUGCGCAUUAUAGGUGGGAGGCGUUGAGAAUAAUCUUGCGGGAUUGUUGGAGCCAUCAGUGAGAUACCACUCUUGUAAUGUUAGAUUUCUAACUUUGUAUCAUUAUCUGGUCAAAGAACAGUUUCAGGCGGGCAGUUUGACUGGGGCGGUCGCCUCCCAAAGGGUAACGGAGGCGCACAAAGGUUUCCUCUGAACGGGUAGAAAUCGUAUCUAGAGUGUAAAGGCAUAAGGAAGCUUGACUGUGAGACCUACAAGUCGAGCAGGGACGAAAGUCGGUCUUAGUGAUCUGACGGUGCUGAGUGGAAAGGCCGUCACUCAACGGAUAAAAGUUACUCUAGGAUAACAGGCUGAUCUCCCCCAAGAGUUCACAUCGACGGGGAGGUUUGGCACCUCGAUGUCGGCUCAUCGCAUCCUGGGGCGGUAGUCCGUCCCAAGGGUUGGGCUGUUCGCCCAUGAAAGCGGUACGCGAGCUGGGUUCAGAACGUCGUGAGACAGUUCGGUCCAUAUCCGGUGUAGGCGUUAGAAUAUUGAGAGGAGCCUUCUCUAGUACGAGAGGACCGAGAAGGACAUACCUCUGGUGUACCAGUUAUCGUGCCAACGGUAAACGCUGGGUAGCUAUGUAUGGAGUGGAUAACCGCUGAAAGCAUCUAAGUGGGAAGCCCACCUCAAGAUAAG
rnacentral:rRNA from 1 species